rnacentral:rRNA from 1 species
ACGUACACUCCUGCGGGGAGGCAGCAGUGGGGAAUAUUGGACAAUGGGCGCAAGCCUGAUCCAGCCAUGCCGCGUGAGUGAUGAAGGCCCUAGGGUUGUAAAGCUCUUUCACCGGUGAAGAUAAUGACGGUAACCGGAGAAGAAGCCCCGGCUAACUUCGUGCCAGCAGCCGCGGUAAUACGAAGGGGGCUAGCGUUGUUCGGAUUUACUGGGCGUAAAGCGCACGUAGGCGGACUAUUAAGUCAGGGGUGAAAUCCCGGGGCUCAACCCCGGAACUGCCUUUGAUACUGGUAGUCUUGAGUUCGAGAGAGGUGAGUGGAAUUCCGAGUGUAGAGGUGAAAUUCGUAGAUAUUCGGAGGAACACCAGUGGCGAAGGCGGCUCACUGGCUCGAUACUGACGCUGAGGUGCGAAAGCGUGGGGAGCAAACAGGAUUAGAUACCCGUGUAGUCCCA